CGGCUCACUUUGAUAGCACACGUACUAACACUGGAACGGUAGAGAGAAGAUUAGUGUGGCCCCUGGGCAAGGAUGACACACGAAUUCAUGAAGUGUUCAUAGUAAAA
ensembl:snRNA U6 U6 spliceosomal RNA